rnacentral:tRNA from 1 species
CGGGGUGUAGCGCAGUUGGUUAGCGCGCCUGCUUUGGGAGCAGGAGGUCCCAAGUUCGAAUCCUGGUACCCCGA